rnacentral:rRNA from 1 species
AGCGGCGGACGGGUGAGUAAUGCCUAGGAAUCUGCCUGGUAGUGGGGGAUAACGUUCGGAAACGGACGCUAAUACCGCAUACGUCCUACGGGAGAAAGCAGGGGACCUUCGGGCCUUGCGCUAUCAGAUGAGCCUAGGUCGGAUUAGCUAGUUGGUGGGGUAAUGGCUCACCAAGGCGACGAUCCGUAACUGGUCUGAGAGGAUGAUCAGUCACACUGGAACUGAGACACGGUCCAGACUCCUACGGGAGGCAGCAGUGGGGAAUAUUGGACAAUGGGCGAAAGCCUGAUCCAGCCAUGCCGCGUGUGUGAAGAAGGUCUUCGGAUUGUAAAGCACUUUAAGUUGGGAGGAAGGGCAGUUGCCUAAUACGUAACUGUUUUGACGUUACCGACAGAAUAAGCACCGGCUAACUCUGUGCCAGCAGCCGCGGUAAUACAGAGGGUGCAAGCGUUAAUCGGAAUUACUGGGCGUAAAGCGCGCGUAGGUGGUUUGUUAAGUUGGAUGUGAAAUCCCCGGGCUCAACCUGGGAACUGC